rnacentral:rRNA from 1 species
UACGUGGGGUGCGAGCGUUGUCCGGAAUUAUUGGGCGUAAAGAGCGCGUAGGCGGUCCGCUAAGUCGGCUGUGAAAGUCAGGGGCUCAACCCUUGAAAGCCGGCCGAUACUGUCGGACUAGAGUCCGGAAGAGGCAAGUGGAAUUCCCGGUGUAGCGGUGAAAUGCGCAGAGAUCGGGAAGAACAUCGGUGGCGAAAGCGCUCUACUGGACCGCAACUGACACUCAGGGACGAAAGCUAGGGGAGCGAAUGGG